rnacentral:rRNA from 1 species
GUGAACGCUAGUGAUAUGCUUAACACAUGCAAGUUUAAAUUGAUACUUUUUAAAAAGUAUUGAUAGCGUACGGGUGUAUAAUACAUAAGAAUCUACUUUAUAUUUUGGGACUUUAAACCCAAUAGAGUUAUAUUAAAAAUAUAAUUUGAAAAUUUAUAUUGAUAUAAAAUGAGCUUAUGGAGAAUUAGAUAAUGAGUGAGGUAAAAGCUUACUUAGUCUAUGAUUCUUAGCUGAUCUUAGCGGAUGAUCAGCCACAUUGGGACUGAAACAUGGCCCAACCUCUCUUUGGAGGCAGCAGUGAGGAAUAUUGGACAAUGAACGAAAGUUUGAUCCAGCAAUAUCACGUGAAUGAUGAAAGUUUAUUCUUAUUGUAAAGUUCUUUCGAUGAGGAGGAUAAUGACGUUACUCAUAAAAGAAGUCCCGACCAACCUCGU